GACGAACGCUGGCGGCGUGCUUAACACAUGCAAGUCGAACGAUGAAGCCGGAGCUUGCUCCGGUGGAUUAGUGGCGAACGGGUGAGUAACACGUGAGCAAUCUGCCCUUGACUCUGGGAUAACUGCGGGAAACUGUAGCUAAUACCGGAUACGACACCUUGGGGCAUCCCAGGGUGUGGAAAGAAUUUCGGUCAAGGAUGAGCUCGCGGCCUAUCAGCUAGUAGGUGAGGUAAUGGCUCACCAAGGCGACGACGGGUAGCCGACCUGAGAGGGUGACCGGCCACACUGGAACUGAGACACGGUCCAGACUCCUACGGGAGGCAGCAGUGGGGAAUAUUGCGCAAUGGGCGAAAGCCUGAUGCAGCAACGCCGCGUGAGGGAUGAAGGCCUUCGGGUUGUAAACCUCUUUUAGCAGGGAAGAAGCGAAAGUGACGGUACCUGCAGAAAAAGCACCGGCUAACUACGUGCCAGCCGCCGCCGUAA
rnacentral:rRNA from 1 species